rnacentral:lncRNA from 10 species
GCAGUGGGAAGCUCGCAGCAGCUGGGGAGGAGCCAAAGCCUCGGCGCUCACCUAAGCCGCAGGGAGAUACACCCAACUGGGAGAUGAGGAAACAGCAACCCAGAGAGGAGAACUAACCCACACAGGAUCAUUUCGUGAAGGAGCAAGGCUGAAGAACCAGACCUGGACUUUCUUAGGCAAGUAAAUUCUGAUUAUAUCACGGAGACUUGCUUUGAGAAAUCUGCCCCUUUUCACUGUGAGAUGGCGUCAUUAACACAUCUAGUUCUCUCCUAAGCAGCCAGCAAACAUUUAUUAUACACUAGAUAUUAUAUUGGCAUUUGAGAUGAUACAAAGGAAUAAAAUGGGGCAAUUAGCUCUAGUAAUUUGGAGGUCUCAACUUACGGAUAUUCCAAGUUCCUUUGAAACGUGUGCAGAAAAAUGUUUAUGCAAAAUUUGCCUACAUUGCAAGGGGUCCAUAGGACCCUCCCCCCAAGUCCUUGACCUCCAGGUUAAGAACUCCUAGCCUAGAAGAGGCCAAUCCCAGCACAAGUGCCAGUGUUAGAAUUGCAUAGCACUAGCUACUGUCUUAUUUAUGGGUCUACUGGUUAAAGGCUGCUUGUGUUUCGACAUCCUUCAUCUUUUAUUUAAAUGGAGCAGCAUCUUACCCUUGAAGACCUUUGGUACAAGAGAGGAAUAUAUG